rnacentral:rRNA from 1 species
AGCGGCGGAUGGGUGAGUAACACGUGGGGAACCUGCCCCUAAGUCUGGGAUACCAUUUGGAAACAGGUGCUAAUACCGGAUAAUAAAGCAGAUCGCAUGAUCAGCUUUUGAAAGGCGGCGUAAGCUGUCGCUAAGGGAUGGCCCCGCGGUGCAUUAGCUAGUUGGUAAGGUAACGGCUUACCAAGGCGACGAUUCAUAGCCGAGUUGAGAGACUGAUCGGCCACAUUGGGACUGAGACACGGCCCAAACUCCUACGGGAGGCAGCAGUAGGGAAUCUUCCACAAUGGACGCAAGUCUGAUGGAGCAACGCCGCGUGAGUGAAGAAGGUUUUCGGAUCGUAAAGCUCUGUUGUUGGUGAAGAAGGAUAGAGGUAGUAACUGGCCUUUAUUUGACGGUAAUCAACCAGAAAGUCACGGCUAACUACGUGCCAGCAGCCGCGGUAAUACGUAGGUGGCAAGCGUUGUCCGGAUUUAUUGGGCGUAAAGCGAGCGCAGGCGGAAAAAUAAGUCUAAUGUGAAAGCCCUCGGCUUAACCGAGGAACUGCAUCGGAAACUGUUUUUCUUGAGUGCAGAAGAGGAGAGUGGAACUCCAUGUGUAGCGGUGGAAUGCGUAGAUAUAUGGAAGAACACCAGUGGCGAAGGCGGCUCUCUGGUCUGCAACUGACGCUGAGGCUCGAAAGCAUGGGUAGCGAACAGGAUUAGAUACCCUGGUAGUCCAUGCCGUAAACGAUGAGUGCUAAGUGU